GCCUUCAUGGUGUAGUGGGCAGCACGCUCGAUGUUUAUUCGAGAGGUCCGUGGUUCGAGUCCCGGCGAGGGCA
rnacentral:tRNA from 1 species